GGGCGUUAAGUUGCAGGGUAUAGACCCGAAACCCGGUGAUCUAGCCAUGGGCAGGUUGAAGGUUGGGUAACACUAACUGGAGGACCGAACCGACUAAUGUUGAAAAAUUAGCGGAUGACUUGUGGCUGGGGGUGAAAGGCCAAUCAAACCGGGAGAUAGCUGGUUCUCCCCGAAAGCUAUUUAGGUAGCGCCUCGUGAACUCAUCUUCGGGGGUAGAGCACUGUUUCGGCUAGGGGGUCAUCCCGACUUACCAACCCGAUGCAAACUACGAAUACCGAAGAAUGUUAUCACGGGAGACACACGGCGGGUGCUAACGUCCGUCGUGAAGAGGGAAACAACCCAGACCGCCAGCUAAGGUCCCAAAGUCAUGGUUAAGUGGGAAACGAUGUGGGAAGGCACAGACAGCCAGGAUGUUGGCUUAGAAGCAGCCAUCAUUUAAAGAAAGCGUAAUAGCUCACUGGUCGAGUCGGCCUGCGCGGAAGAUGUAACGGGGCUAAACCAUGCACCGAAGCUGCGGCAGCGACACUAUGUGUUGUUGGGUAGGGGAGCGUUCUGUAAGCCUGCGAAGGUGUGCUGUGAGGCAUGCUGGAGGUAUCAGAAGUGCGAAUGCUGACAUAAGUAACGAUAAAGCGGGUGAAAAGCCCGCUCGCCGGAAGACCAAGGGUUCCUGUCCAACGUUAAUCGGGGCAGGGUGAGUCGACCCCUAAGGCGAGGCCGAAAGGCGUAGUCGAUGGGAAACAGGUUAAUAUUCCUGUACUUGGUGUUACUGCGAAGGGGGGACGGAGAAGGCUAUGUUAGCCGGGCGACGGUUGUC
rnacentral:rRNA from 1 species